GUUCCCUCUCUGGACACCUGGUCAUUUCCAGUUGUGUGAAUCUUGCAGUGAAGCUCAUUCCCGGGCAGUGGUCAGAAAAAAACAGCUUUGACUUGAAGGGUUUUCCAAGCCAAGACUAUGGAGUUGACUGUGGGAUCUUCAUGCUGAUGUCUGCUCUGUACGUGGCACUGGAUGCACCAUUCGACUGUACUAUAGUAAGUAUCCUAUUUACUUUCACAGCAAUGGAGUCUUGAAUCUUUUGAAAGUUGUUAAAUAUGUUUCAUAUUAAUAUUUUACAGUCACACAUGCCCUACUUGUGUAAAUGGUGGUGCUUGCUGUUGAUGGAGAACUUUGAUCUCAGGAGCUCUGGCAAGUUAUUUGCACACCGGAGAGAGGAAGCCAAAGCUGUGCUUGAAGGACAACACGUGCCCACUUCCAGACUGAAAAAGCGCAAGUUCCAGGAAGUCAGUCAGGAGUCAGCAGUUGUUGAAGAUCUGCGUCCUGCUGUGCAGUGGGUUGUCCAAAAUAAGGCACUUUUCCGUGGACACGUAACAAUGCCAAAAUAUCUGUCCUUAAAUCAAGGGGACCAGCAGAGGGUCUUAAGAGACAUGUCAGAGGAAGAAGACACUGGAGCAAGGGACUUGUUCCUCUUUGUUUUUCAGUUUGCAGAGGACAUGGAGCUCUUUCUGAAAGCAUGUGCUGAUGAGCAGGGAAUAAGGGUCAGUGCUAUGUUUGACAUGUAAUGGACAAAUGAAGGCACUGGCUGUGUUUGUUUGUUUGUUUAAUAUGUCGUUGCUGUUUUUGUUUGUUUUUGCAUAGUACAAAAUUCCAAUUAAACUUAUUUCAAAAUGUU